GACGAACGCUGGCGGCGUGCUUAACACAUGCAAGUCGAACGCUGAAGCUCAGCUUUUGUUGGGUGGAUGAGUGGCGAACGGGUGAGUAACACGUGAGUAACCUGCCCCCUUCUUUGGGAUAACGCCCGGAAACGGGUGCUAAUACUGGAUAUUCACUGGUCUUCGCAUGGGGGUUGGUGGAAAGGGUUUUUCUGGUGGGGGAUGGGCUCGCGGCCUAUCAGCUUGUUGGUGGGGUGAUGGCCUACCAAGGCUUUGACGGGUAGCCGGCCUGAGAGGGUGACCGGUAACAUUGGGACUGAGAUACGGCCCAGACUACUACGCGAGGCAGCAGUGGGGAAUAUUGCACAAUGGGCGCAAGACUGAUGCAGCGACGCCGCGUGAGGGAUGGAGGCCUUCGGGUUGUGAACCUCUUUCGCUCAUGGUCAAGCCGCAACAAUGGUUGUGGUGAGGGUAGUGGGUAAAGAAGCGCCGGCUAACUACGUG
rnacentral:rRNA from 1 species